rnacentral:rRNA from 1 species
GACGAACGCUGGCGGCGUGCUUAACACAUGCAAGUCGAACGGAAAGGCCCCUUCGGGGGUACUCGAGUGGCGAACAGGUGAGUAACACGUGAGUAACCUGCCCUUGACUUCGGGAUAACUUCAGGAAACUGGGGCUAAUACCGGAUAGGAAUCCUUGCUGCAUGGUGGGGGUUGGAAAGCUUCGGCGGUUUUGGAUGGACUCGCGGCUUAUCAGCUUGUUGGUGGGGUAGUGGCUUACCAAGGCUUUGACGGGUAGCCGGCCUGAGAGGGCGACCGGCCACAUUGGGACUGAGAUACGGCCCAGACUCCUACGGGGGGCAGCAGUGGGGAAUAUUGCACAAUGGGCGGAAGCCUGAGGCAGCAACGCCGCGUGCGGGAUGACGGCCUUCGGGUUGUAAACCGCUUUCAGCAGGGGCGAAGCUUGUGGUGACGGUACCUGCAGAAGAAGCACCGGCUAACUACGUGC